UUAAAUUGAAGAGUUUGAUCAUGGCUCAGAUUGAACGCUGGCGGCAGGCCUAACACAUGCAAGUCGAGCGGUAGCACAGGAGAGCUUGCUCUCUGGGUGACGAGCGGCGGACGGGUGAGUAAUGUCUGGGAAACUGCCUGAUGGAGGGGGAUAACUACUGGAAACGGUAGCUAAUACCGCAUAAUGUCUACGGACCAAAGUGGGGGACCUUCGGGCCUCACGCCAUCAGAUGUGCCCAGAUGGGAUUAGCUAGUAGGUGGGGUAAUGGCUCACCUAGGCGACGAUCCCUAGCUGGUCUGAGAGGAUGACCAGCCACACUGGAACUGAGACACGGUCCAGACUCCUACGGGAGGCAGCAGUGGGGAAUAUUGCACAAUGGGCGCAAGCCUGAUGCAGCCAUGCCGCGUGUGUGAAGAAGGCCUUAGGGUUGUAAAGCACUUUCAGCGAGGAGGAAGGGUAGUGUGUUAAUAGCACAUUGCAUUGACGUUACUCGCAGAAGAAGCACCGGCUAACUCCGUGCCAGCAGCCGCGGUAAUACGGAGGGUGCAAGCGUUAAUCGGAAUUACUGGGCGUAAAGCGCACGCAGGCGGUUUGUUAAGUCAGAUGUGAAAUCCCCGCGCUUAACGUGGGAACUGCAUUUGAAACUGGCAAGCUAGAGUCUUGUAGAGGGGGGUAGAAUUCCAGGUGUAGCGGUGAAAUGCGUAGAGAUCUGGAGGAAUACCGGUGGCGAAGGCGGCCCCCUGGACAAAGACUGACGCUCAGGUGCGAAAGCGUGGGGAGCAAACAGGAUUAGAUACCCUGGUAGUCCACGCUGUAAACGAUGUCGAUUUGGAGGUUGUGCCCUUGAGGCGUGGCUUCCGGAGCUAACGCGUUAAAUCGACCGCCUGGGGAGUACGGCCGCAAGGUUAAAACUCAAAUGAAUUGACGGGGGCCCGCACAAGCGGUGGAGCAUGUGGUUUAAUUCGAUGCAACGCGAAGAACCUUACCUACUCUUGACAUCCAGAGAACUUUCCAGAGAUGGAUUGGUGCCUUCGGGAACUCUGAGACAGGUGCUGCAUGGCUGUCGUCAGCUCGUGUUGUGAAAUGUUGGGUUAAGUCCCGCAACGAGCGCAACCCUUAUCCUUUGUUGCCAGCGAUUCGGUCGGGAACUCAAAGGAGACUGCCGGUGAUAAACCGGAGGAAGGUGGGGAUGACGUCAAGUCAUCAUGGCCCUUACGAGUAGGGCUACACACGUGCUACAAUGGCGUAUACAAAGAGAAGCGAACUCGCGAGAGCAAGCGGACCUCAUAAAGUACGUCGUAGUCCGGAUUGGAGUCUGCAACUCGACUCCAUGAAGUCGGAAUCGCUAGUAAUCGUAGAUCAGAAUGCUACGGUGAAUACGUUCCCGGGCCUUGUACACACCGCCCGUCACACCAUGGGAGUGGGUUGCAAAAGAAGUAGGUAGCUUAACCUUCGGGAGGGCGCUUACCACUUUGUGAUUCAUGACUGGGGUGAAGUCGUAACAAGGUAACCGUAGGGGAACCUGCGGUUGGAUCACCUCCUUACCU
rnacentral:rRNA from 1 species